CCUACGGGAGGCAGCAGUGGGGAAUAUUGCACAAUGGGCGGAAGCCUGAUGCAGCGACGCCGCGUGAGGGAUGACGGCCUUCGGGUUGUAAACCUCUUUCAGCAGGGACGAAGCGAAAGUGACGGUACCUGCAGAAGAAGCGCCGGCCAACUACGUGCCAGCAGCCGCGGUAAGACGUAGGGCGCGAGCGUUGUCCGGAUUUAUUGGGCGUAAAGAGCUCGUAGGCGGCUUGUCGCGUCGACUGUGAAAACCCGCGGCUCAACCGCGGGCCUGC
rnacentral:rRNA from 1 species